UGGAAAAAAAACGAAACAUUUGGUUUUGACUCCUAAAUCUCACUCCAUGUUUUCACUCCAAGGUUACUCUAAAAUCUCACGGACCAUUACUCCGCUCCAAGACUCCUCUCCAUGUUUUGUCGUAUGCCGUAAAAAAUAUAUGUGAUCCUCUUCCUAAAUAUAACCUCUUUGCCGCCACAGAUUACACGUUCGCUGAUCCGGACACAUAAUCAGAUUUGUUAUGAACGAUAACGGGGAGAUAGGAGCGGACGGUGGCUCGGGUUUAUUACGUCGCCCGAGUAAACUGGAGACCUUAAUUGAAACUGUCUUUGGUGGUGGUGGUGGUGGUGGCGGUGGCGGUUCUGGAAGUCAUGGCAAGCGCGAUAAGAGCAGUAGUGGCGAUAAAGGCGGUAGUGGCGAUAAAGAGAAGAAGAAAAAGAAGUGAAUUAGGACAGUCUUGCUCGCAUGUCUGACAUUCGCUAGCUUAAGAUAAAUUCUAGUCGUUUAACCCAAUGUGUUCGUAUCAAUCACGUCUUAGUUUUACACAAUAUAAAGGAUUGUUUCUUCAUAACAUUAUAGUAUUAUCAUACAUACCGUCGGUG